GAUGAACGCUGGCGGCGUGCCUAAUACAUGCAAGUCGAGCGAACAGACGAGGAGCUUGCUCCUCUGACGUUAGCGGCGGACGGGUGAGUAACACGUGGAUAACCUACCUAUAAGACUGGGAUAACUUCGGGAAACCGGAGCUAAUACCGGAUAAUAUAUUGAACCGCAUGGUUCAAUAGUUAAAGACGGUUUUGCUGUCACUUAUAGAUGGAUCCGCGCCGCAUUAGCUAGUUGGUAAGGUAACGGCUUACCAAGGCAACGAUGCGUAGCCGACCUGAGAGGGUGAUCGGCCACACUGGAACUGAGACACGGUCCAGACUCCUACGGGAGGCAGCAGUAGGGAAUCUUCCGCAAUGGGCGAAAGCCUGACGGAGCAACGCCGCGUGAGUGAUGAAGGUCUUCGGAUCGUAAAACUCUGUUAUUAGGGAAGAACAAAUGUGUAAGUAACUAUGCACGUCUUGACGGUACCUAAUCAGAAAGCCACGGCUAAGUACGUG
rnacentral:rRNA from 1 species